rnacentral:lncRNA from 1 species
UGCAGAUUCAGUUAAAACAUAAAGUACCUGGCGGACUAUUUCUGGAGGUUACAGUUUUGUUAUUAAAAAAAAAAUACACAAAUAAUGGGUCUGGAAGAGGAAGCAUAAUAAAUUUGAGGACUCAGAAGUGAUGCUAAAUUUGGACAUUUGAAGAAGGGGCACAGGAAAGCAAUUCAAAGGCACUUGAGUUAUCAACGUGCACAGAGGAAAUUAAGUAGGAGGCAUGUUGGAAAGGCACCCACUGAUAUCGACCUGGAUGGAAGCCCUUGAAGUCACAGUUCCUCCACAGCAUGGGCUUUGAACUCCUGCGCUUGGGUCUGGCUUCCACAAAGAUGAACUCAGAAUGGAAAAAUUAAAAAAAAAAAAAAAAAAAGUUGGAAGCCAUUGCCACUACAGUGCCAACCUGGCCAGCCACAAGACCAUAAUAUUUUUUAAACUCUGACGGCUAGAAAUGGACACAAAUUGCUCUCUUGUGGUUGCCAGCAGGUUUCUGAAUCAUCUUUGGGUUAGGGCUUCAGUAGACUUUUGAUUUUGCAAGGUCUAGUAAAGAACUUUUAUACACACAAGGUAGAGAAGACAAAGAGAGAGCCGGCACGGAGGUUCACGCCUGUAAUCCCAGCACUUUGAGAGACUGAGGUAGGAGGAUCGCUUGAGCCCAGGAGUUAGAGACCAGCCUGGGAAACAUAAGGAGACCUAGUCUCCACAAAAAAUUUAAAAAGAAAAAUUAGCUAGAUGUGGUGGUGAGUGCCUGUGGUCCUAGCUACUCGAGAUGAGGCGGGAGGAUUGCUUGAGCCUGGGAGGUCAAGGCUGCAGUGAGCUGAGAUGGUGCCACUGCACUCGCCUGGGUGACAGAGAGAGACCCUGUCUCAAAAAAAAAAAAAAAAAAAGAAAGAAAGGAAAGAAAAGAAAAGAGAAAGAGAAAGAGAGAAGAGAGAAGAGAGAAGCAGGAUGGAGCAAAGGGAUACAAAUGAAGGAAGAAGGGCAUAGGUUCACGUGGAAGGAGAAGGAAAACAAUAACCUGGAGAAAAGGUAGGUGGAGCUUGUGAGGGCUCCUGGGGCAGCCGCCAGCUGCGUGUACUAACGUGUCCCCAAUGAAGGUGCUAGAACCUCUCACUGGGAGUCAGGGUAUCUCUGAACAACAUCCUUCCUGCAACUGCACUUCUAAGGGAAGAAAGCUGGGUCAUAAACCCCUAACCCCCGACUCACGCCAGCUAUUUAAAUGAGCCCACUCCUUUUACUGAUUAACAUGGCAAGGACGCACUGAUGCCUUCUAAUGAAUGUAAAGGCAAGAAGCCACACUGGGUGGCCCUUACUCGGAGGCAAACUCCCUAGAGGGCCAUAUGCUGACGCUCCUCCCAUGCUAGGAUCCCACUGAUAGAGGACCCUGUCCCUCCACAUCAAUGAUCAUCCCGGGAGCAUCCCAGGGCCUACAGGAAGCCACCCCUGAGGAUGUCCUCACAGGCAGGGACAGGAAGCACUAGAGAAAUGGUUCCCCACCCGAGUGACUAGGAGAAGUCCUGGUGACUGCACGCAGGGCAGACACUGUUCCCUCCC